rnacentral:tRNA from 1 species
AGAGUAUAGUUUAAUGGUAAAAUAUGAAGCUUCAAACUUUAUUUUUUCAGUUCAAGUCUGAAUGCUCUUGG